GAUGAACGCUAGCGGCAGGCCUAACACAUGCAAGUCGAGGGGCAUCAUGGCGUAGCAAUACGCUGAUGGCGACCGGCGCACGGGUGCGUAACGCGUAUGGAACCUACCCACCGCAGGGGGAUAACCCGCCGAAAGGCGGACUAAUACCCCAUGGUUCCCCGACCCUGCCUGGGGUUGGGGGUAAAGCCUACGGGCGGCGGUGGAUGGCCCUGCGUGCCAUUAGCUGGCUGGUGGGGUAACGGCCCACCAGGGCGACGAUGGCUAGGGGGUCUGAGAGGACGAUCCCCCACACUGGUACUGAGACACGGACCAGACUCCUACGGGAGGCAGCAGUGAGGAAUAUUGGACAAUGGGUGCAAGCCUGAUCCAGCCAUCCCGCGUGAAGGACGACGGCCCUAUGGGUUGUAAACUUCUUUUGUACAGGGAUAAACCUCCCCUCGUGAGGGGAGCUGAAGGUACUGUACGAAUAAGCACCGGCUAACUCCGUG
rnacentral:rRNA from 1 species